CGUUCACCUAUAUAAUGUCGUACGGUAUCGCGAUCGUACCGCGGUAUCAACCCUCCCGAAUUUGGUGAGGGGAAGGGGUCGUACGUCGGUCACCCACAAACGUUAUCAAAGGGUAUUCAAUUAUGAAGUAUAUAUGUAAUGCGAUGAUGAUUUUCAAAAACAAUCUCGACUUGUAUAAUCGUAACUACAACUAUAACGGUGGUACAGGGUCGUUCAAAACGAUUCAUCCGAUUCCGAUUGCUUGUAUUACCUAUAUUAUAAUAUUUAGUGUUUAGGUUAAGAGUAGUAUUAUAAUAUUGUGAUAUUAUAUUAAAUAAAAGAAGAAUAUUUCAAAUUUAUUUAAUGGUUGCAUGAACAGUACGCAUCAAAUUCGUUCCAUGCAUAUCCGUUGUAAUUGCAGACUCCGCUAAUUGUUUAGCUAGAUCAUUUGUGGUUCGUGAUUUUGGUGAGAGAAUUACUCACUCAGGCCACGUAUUUCGUGUUUUUAUAACGAGAAUGCAUUCAACGACGGAGGAAACAUGUUUUGUUUGACACAAUGAUAAUAAUAUCCCUUCAUCGGACCAAUAACUGACGAUCAAGUUGAUAUAUUUCGCGUUCUUGAAAAAGUAAUUUUACAUCAUAUUUACGAUCAUUUUGAGUUGAACGAGAAAUUUAUGUUUUGGACAGUUUUAAGUGCCUAUAGAGAGUAUAGAAGUAAAUAUUAUUGCAUACGCCAUACACGUCAUAGUUGUACUGCUAAGACGUUUAUCCUAAACAGUUUCUAAAUAAGUUAUACAAUUUCAUAUUUUUUUCGUUUAAAAUAUUUCAGCUAACGAUAUUGAGUUAGUAAGCCGCGUAAAUAAUAAAUUGUUUCUUGGUUAUUAUUACAACUACGAAUAUAAGUCGUAUAAAAUAUUCAGCGGUCGGAAACUUAAAAGGAAAUGCACUAAUAUGCGUAGGUACAUUUAGGUUUUAUUUUUUUUUUUACUUUAAUUCAAAGUUAGUAAACCACCUCAAUUAGAUACGUGUAUACACUGCCGCAUUCGCAGUGUUCAGUUGUUUUCAAUAAAUUAUUCCAUGUUCUGAAAGAAAGAAAAAAUCAAUAAAUUUAAAAAGUAAAAAAAAAACAUGUCCGAACCAUAAAAACUUGGCAUUGGAUUUAUUUAGUAGUGUUAUUGAAAAACGAUGCGAUGACGUUGCAUUCCACCGCUGUAUAACAAUACCCGAUAUAAACGUGUGAAAAUUAACUUGAUGACGUAUCUUUCGAAAAAAAUUCGGGAAACAAUCCCAUCAUAAGGUUCAAAAACAGAGUUCUAAAACGAAAUUGUCAACCCUUUUCCAUCGAAAUACAACGCAAUAAUGUGUCCAGGCAUAAUCUGUAGCACUCCAGCUACCUAUAUAUAAUAAUAUUAUAUUAGAGAUUCGUAGUGGAAAUACAGUCCUCUGAAAAAACAAAAAAAAAA